GAUGAACGCUGGCGGCGUGCCUAAUACAUGCAAGUCGAGCGAACGGACGAGAAGCUUGCUUUUCUGAUGUUAGCGGCGGACGGGUGAGUAACACGUGGAUAACCUACCUAUAAGACUGGGAUAACUUCGGGAAACCGGAGCUAAUACCGGAUAAUAUUUUGAACCGCAUGGUUCAAAAGUGAAAGACGGUCUUGCUGUCACUUAUAGAUGGAUCCGCGCUGCAUUAGCUAGUUGGUAAGGUAACGGCUUACCAAGGCAACGAUGCAUAGCCGACCUGAGAGGUGGACCGCCCACAGGGGAACUGAGCCCGGGUCCAGCCCCCUACGGGGGGCAGCAUUAGGGAAUUUUCCGAAAUGGGCGAAGGCCUGACGGAGCAACGCCGGGGGAGUGAGAAAGGUUUUCGGAUCGUAAAACUUUUUUAUGGGGGAAAAACAUAUGUUUAAGUAACUGUGCACAUCUUGACGGUCCCUAAUAAGAAAGCCCCGGCUAACUCCGUC
rnacentral:rRNA from 1 species